rnacentral:rRNA from 1 species
AUUGAACGCUGGCGGCAGGCCUAACACAUGCAAGUCGAGCGGAUGAAGAGAGCUUGCUCUCUGAUUUAGCGGCGGACGGGUGAGUAAUGCCUAGGAAUCUGCCUGGUAGUGGGGGAUAACGUCCGGAAACGGGCGCUAAUACCGCAUACGUCCUACGGGAGAAAGCAGGGGACCUUCGGGCCUUGCGCUAUCAGAUGAGCCUAGGUGGGAAUAGCUAGUUGGUGAGGGAAAGGCUCACCAAGGCUACGAUCCGUAACUGGUCUGAGAGGAUGAUCAGUCACACUGGAACUGAGACACGGUCCAGACUCCUACGGGAGGCAGCAGUGGGGAAUAUUGGACAAUGGGCGAAAGCCUGAUCCAGCCAUGCCGCGUGUGUGAAGAAGGUCUUCGGAUUGUAAAGCACUUUAAGUUGGGAGGAAGGGCAGUAAGUUAAUACCUUGCUGUUUUGACGUUACCGACAGAAUAAGCACCGGCUAACUUCGUGCCAGCCGCCGCGGUAACAC